rnacentral:rRNA from 1 species
UACAGAGGAGCCAAGCGUUGUCCGGAUUGACUGGGCGUAAAGCGCACGCAGGCGGAUGGGCGCGUGGGGUGUGAAAUCUGGCCGCUUAACGGCCAGGCGCCAUCCCAUACGGCGCGUCUGGAGUGAUGCAGAGGUCGAUGGAAUUGCCGGUGUAGUGGUGAAAUGCGUAGAGAUCGGCAGGAACACCCAGGGGGAAACCAGUCGACUGGGCAUCUACUGACGCUGAGGUGCGAGAGCGUGGGGAGAGAACCGG